UAUGGGGAUUCGAUUAAGCCAUGCNAGUCGAACGAGGUUCANGCUCGUGGCUUACGGCUCAGUNACACGUGGAUAACCUACCCUUAGGACUGGGAUAACCCCUGGGAAACUGGGGAUAUUACUGGAUAAGGCAAUUAUUCCNGUAAUGGNUUUUUGUUUAAAUGUUUUUUCGCCUAAGGAUUGGUCUGCCGCCGAUUGGGUAGUUGGUUAGGUAAUGGCUUACCAAGCCUUUUAUCGGUACGGGUUGUGAGAGCAAGAGCCCGGAGAUGGAACCUGAGACAAGUUUCCAGGCCCUACGGGGUGCAGCAGGCGCGAAACCUCCGCAAUGUGAGAAAUCGCGACGGGGGGAUCCCAAGUGCCAUUCUUAACGGGAUGGCUUUUCAUUAGUGUAAAGAGCUUUUGGAAUAAGGGCUGGGCAAGACCGGUGCCAGCCGCCGCGGUAACACCGGCAGCUCUAGUGGUAGCAGUUUUUAUUGGGCCUAAAGCGUCCGUAGCCGGUUUAAUAAGUCUCUGGUGAAAUCCUGCAGCUUAACUGUGGGAAUUGCUGGAGAUACUAUUAGACUUGAGAUCGGGAGAGGUUAGAGGUACUCCCAGGGUAGAGGUGAAAUUCUGUAAUCCUGGGAGGACCGACCUGUUGCGAAGGCGUCUGACUGGAACGAUUUUGACGGUGAGGGACGAAAGCUAGGGUCGCGAACCGGAUUAGAUACCCGGGUAGUCCUAGCUGUAAACGAUGCGGACUUGGUGUUGGGGUGGCUUUGAGCUGUCCCUGUGCCGAAGGGAAGCUGUUAAGUCUGCCGCCUGGGCAGUACGGUCGCAAGACUGAAACUUAAAGGAAUUGGCGGGGGAGCACCACAACGCUUGGCAGCCUGCGGUUUAAUUGGAAUUCUACGUCUGACAUCUCACCCAGAGUUGACAGCGUGUAUGAUAGCCCGGUUGAUGAGUUUGCUUGACUAUUUUAGAGGAGGUGCAUGGCCGCCGUCACCUCGUACCGUGAGGCGUCCUGGUUAAGUCAGGCAACGAGCGGA
rnacentral:rRNA from 1 species